rnacentral:rRNA from 1 species
AUUGAACGCUGGCGGCAGGCUUAACACAUGCAAGUCGAACGAGUGGCGGACGGGUGAGUAAUGCCUGGGAAUCUGGCUUAUGGAGGGGGAUAACGACGGGAAACUGUCGCUAAUACCGCGUACCAUAGGCUGAGCCCAAGUGGGAUUAGGUAGUUGGUGGGGUAAAGGCUUACCAAGCGGACGAUCUCUAGCUGGUCUGAGAGGAUGACCAGCCACACCGGGACUGAGAGACGGCCCGGACUCCUACGGAAGGCAGCAGGGGGGAAUAUUGCACAAUGGGGGCAACCCUGACGAAGCCAUGCCGCGUGAAUGAAGAAGGCCUUCGGGUUGUAAAGUCCUUUCAGUAGUGAGGCGUUAAAUACAGAAGAAGCACCGGCUAACUACGUGCCAGCAGCCGCGGUAAUAC